UGAGCUGGCCGCAAGGCCCUGGUUCAUCUACUGGCGAGGUCUUCCUCG
rnacentral:sRNA from 12 species